rnacentral:rRNA from 1 species
CCUACGGGAGGCAGCAGUGAGGACUAUUGGUCAAUGGACGAGAGUCUGAACCAGCCAAGUAGCGUGAAGGAUGACUGCCCUCUGGGUUGUAAACUUCUUUUAUAUGGGAAUAAAAUGUUCCACGUGUGGGCUUUUGUAUGUACCAUAUGAAUAAGGAUCGGCUAACUCCGUGCCAGCAGCCGCGGUAAUACGGCGGAUCCGAGCGUUAUCCGGAUUUAUUGGGUUUAAAGGGAUAGUAGGUGGAUUGUUAAGUCAGUUGUGAAAGUUUGCGGCUCAACCGUAAAAUUGCAGUUGAAACUGGCAGUCUUGAGUACAGUAGAGGUGGGCGGAAUUCGUGGUGUAGCGGUGAAAUGCUUAGAUAUCACGAAGAACUCCGAUUGCGAAGGCAGCUCACUGGACUGCAACUGACACUGAGGCUCGAAAGUGUGGGUAUCAAACAGGAUUAGAUACCCCAGUAGUC